UCCGGCAUGGUCUAGUGGCUAGGAUAGUUGUCUCUCACACAAUUGGCCGGGGUUCGAUUCCCCGUACCGGAA
rfam:Exidia glandulosa HHB12029 unplaced genomic scaffold EXIGLscaffold_411, whole genome shotgun sequence.